rnacentral:rRNA from 1 species
CCCUUAGAUGUUCUGGGCUGCACGCGCGCUACACUGACACACUCAGCGAGUCUCCUGGCCCGAGAGGGUUGGGUAAUCAUGUGAGCGUGUGUCGUGAUGGGGAUAGAAUAUUGUAAUUAUUGCUCUUCAACGAGGAAUUCCUAGUAAGCGCGAGUCAGCAGCUCGCGCUGAUUACGUCCCUGCCCUUUGUACACACCGCCCGUCGCUCCUACCGAUGGGGUGAUCCGGUGAAUGAUUCGGACUUCCGCAGUGCUAGCUACUAGCUUUGUGGAAGAAAGUCUUGUGAACCUUNUNACUUGCNGGAAGGAGAANUCGUANCA